UACGGAGGGUGGGAGCGUUAAUCGGAAUUACUGGGCGUAAAGCGCGCGUAGGCGGUUGCGUAAGUCGAUUGUGAAAGCCCCGGGCUUAACCUGGGAAUUGCAGUCGAUACUGCGCAGCUAGAGUGUGGUAGAGGGAAGUGGAAUUCCGGGUGUAGCGGUGAAAUGCGUAGAUAUCCGGAGGAACACCAGUGGCGAAGGCGGCUUCCUGGACCAACACUGACGCUGAGGUGCGAAAGCGUGGGGAGCAAACAGG
rnacentral:rRNA from 1 species